rnacentral:rRNA from 1 species
AGUGAACGCUGGCGGUAGGCCUAACACAUGCAAGUCGAACGGCAGCACAGUAAGAGCUUGCUCUUACGGGUGGCGAGUGGCGGACGGGUGAGGAAUACAUCGGAAUCUACUUUUUCGUGGGGGAUAACGUAGGGAAACUUACGCUAAUACCGCAUACGACCUACGGGUGAAAGCAGGGGAUCUUCGGACCUUGCGCGAUUGAAUGAGCCGAUGUCGGAUUAGCUAGUUGGCGGGGUAAAGGCCCACCAAGGCGACGAUCCGUAGCUGGUCUGAGAGGAUGAUCAGCCACACUGGAACUGAGACACGGUCCAGACUCCUACGGGAGGCAGCAGUUGGGAAUAUUGGACAAAGGGCGCAAGCCUGAUCCAGCCAUACCGCGUGGGUGAAGAAGGCCUUCGGGCUGUAAAGCCCUUUUGUUGGGAAAGAAAAGCAGCAGGUUAAUACCCCGCCGUUCUGACGGUACCCAAAGAAUAAGCACCGGCUAACUUCGUG